rnacentral:rRNA from 1 species
UACGAAGGGGACUAGCGUUGUUCGGAAUCACUGGGCGUAAAGCGCACGUAGGCGGAUAUGUCAGUCAGGGGUGAAAUCCCGGGGCUCAACCUCGGAACUGCCUUUGAUACAGCAUAUCUUGAGUCCGAUAGAGGUGGGUGGAAUUCCUAGUGUACGAGGUGAAAUUCGUAGAUAUUAGGAAGAACACCGGGUGGCGCAAGGCGGCCCCACUGGAUCGG